AUGGAGCCCGCCUGCACUUCGGCUUCCACCACCGGCGGCCCUGAGCCUGAGUCAAAGGCUGAACGAAUUGCCCGCUACAAGGCAGAGAGGCGCAGACAGCUCGCAGAGCGCUAUGGACAUCGCCCAUCGUUCUUACACCGGCAGCUUGGGCGCCAACUCUCGGGCCCCACUGCACGGCCACUCGGACUCGGGUCAAGCGAUGGGUCGGACCAGGGCGGACUCCUUUACAGAGAGGGAGAGGGUGAUGAAUCUAGAGAAUCAACGCAGAGCUGCUCCGCCGGAGCCUCCGUCCUCUUACAUGGACGUGACAUCGUUGUCCUCGCCCGCCAGGGUUCCUGCCAAGGACUACUUCGUCACAGUGAUAGGAUAGCUGAGUCGGAGAUGGAGCACCAGGGGAAUGAGGCUCACUUGUCCAUCCAGGAGAGGAAGCGGCUAAUCGUAGCCCAGGAGGAGUCUUGGAAGACCAAAGGCUACGGCGCCGCCAAUGACUCCACCCAGUUCACUGUGGCCGCACGCAUGUACCUUCCAUUAGAAAAACAUGAGCUCAUCAUUUGUAAUAGUAACUUCCAUGAAUCCUGGAUAAUACAACUCCCCCUCCCCUCCUCCCCAGUGUCUGGACUGCCAGAAUCGACCAUCACAGUCACGCAGAAGAAGGUGAAGGAGGUGAUGACCCUCGAAGACGAAACGUUCUCCAAGUUCUACCGCCAAGUGGAGGAGCUCUCCCCCACCACCAACAGGCUGGAGAUUAGCCUCGACGACUUCGAUGCCAUCUUCGGCCCCCAGCUGACCUCGGAAAUGGAGCAGCACAAGCGGGCGGUGCGCCCGGCACGUAACGUCCAGUCGUCUAGAAACCCUCUGAAGAUGCUGGCCGCCAGGGAGGACAUCAGACACGAGUACACGGAACAGAGACUCAACGUUGGCCUGCUGGAGAGCAAGAGGAUGAAGGCUGAGAAGACGAACAAAAACUCUGGUUUCUCCGACGUGGCUCUGGCCGGUCUGGCAAGCAAGGAGAACUUCAGCAACAUCAACCUGCGCAGCGUCAACAUCUCCGAGCAGAUGUCCAACAAUAGCGCUGUGCCUUACAAGAAACUCAUGCUCUUACAGGUCAAAGGCCGACGGCACGUCCAGACCAGGCUGGUGGAGCCCAGAGCGUCCUCCCUGAACAGCGGGGAUUGCUUCCUACUCGUAACGCCACACCACUGCUUUAUCUGGACCGGGGAGUUUGCCAACGUAAUCGAGAAGAACAAGGCUUCAGAGUUGGCAAACUUCAUCCAGAGAAAGAGAGACUUAGGCUGCCGAGCCAACUACGUCCAGGUCAUCGAGGAAGGCGUCAGCACGCACAGCCAUUCUGCCAAGGACUUCUGGAAUAUUUUGGGGGGGCAGUUGAGUUAUCAGUCCGCAGGGACACCAGACGAAGACGAGCUGUACGAGGGGGCCAUCGUGGAGACCAACUGUAUCUACCGCCUGAUAGACGACAAGCUGGUCCCAGAUGAUGAUUUUUGGGCCAAGGUCCCGAGCUGUUCCCUGCUCUUCCCCAAGGAGGUCUUGGUGUUUGACUUUGGCAGCGAGAUGUACAUAUGGCACGGGAAGGAGGUGACGCUGGCACAGAGGAAGGUGGCCUUCCAGCUGGCAAAGCACCUGUGGAACGGCACCUUCGAUUACACCAACUGUGACAUCAACCCGCUCGACCCGGGCGAGUGCAACACUCUCAUACCCAAGAAAGGUCAGGGCCGACCGGACUGGGCCGUGUUUGGCAGGCUGACUCAGCACAACGAAACCACCCUGUUCAAAGAGAAGUUCCUGGACUGGUGCGACUCCAGGAGAACACCAAGCCCCGCAAAAAACAACGAACACAUCACCAAUCAAAAGCCCCAUGCGUACGACGCCUCCCUGAUGCUGCCCCUCCCUCAGGCGCCCGUCUGCACCAGACUAGACGGAUUCAACGUGGGGCGGGGCUACGGCCUGGUGGAGGCCGAGGAGUGGCGCAGCUACGAGAUCAGCACACUGGGCGUGGAGGUGUGGCACAUCCUGGAGUUUGACUAUAGCCGCCUGCCGUGCCAGAGCAUAGGCCAGUUCCACGAGGGGGACACAUACGUGAUGAAGUGGAAGUACAUGGUCAGCGCUGCGGUUGGGAGGAGACAGAACCCGGAGCAGCAGAAGUCGGCGGGGGCCGGGAGGGAGAAGUGCUGCUACUUCUUCUGGCAGGGCCGCAACUCCACAGUCAGCGAGAAAGGAACGUCGGCGCUCAUGACCGUGGAGCUGGACGAGGAGCGUGGAGCGCAGGUUCAGGUCCAGCAGGGUAAGGAGCCUCCGUGUUUCCUGCAGUGCUUCAAAGGAGGGAUGGUGAUCCACUCGGGGCGGAGAGAAGAGGAGGAGGAGAACUCUCAAAGUGACUGGCGUCUGUACUGUGUGGCCUGUCACUGCACUAGCCUGCGCUCCAGGGCGUCCAUGGUGCUGCUGAGUGCGAGCCAGGCCGCCAUCUACCUGUGGCACGGCUGCAAGUCUCAGGCGCACACGCGGGAGGUGGCGCGCACCGCCGCCAACCACAUCAGAGAGCAUUGUCCUCUGGAAACGGGCCUUCACAGCAGCAGCAAGGUGACCAUCUGGGAGUGUGACGAGGGAGCAGAGCCCGCGGGAUUCUGGGAGCCCCUCAGGAGGAGGGACAGGAAAGCGUACGACUGCAUGCUGCAAGACCCAGGAAGGUUUAACUUCUCACCGCGUCUGUACCAGCUGAGCAGCAGCUCCGGGGAGUUUGUGGCAGUAGAGUUUCUUUACCCUGCCAGAGACCCCAGGGAGGUCAACUCCAUGCCCUUCCUGCAGGAGGACCUCUAUGCGGCUUCACAACCAGCCCUGUUCCUGGUGGACAACCAUCACGAGGUGUAUCUGUGGCAGGGCUGGUGGCCUCAGGACAGCGAAAGCACCGGCUCAGCCCAAAUCCGCUGGGACUCGGACAGGAAGUGUGCCAUGGAGACUGUGCUGCAGUACUGCAGAGAAAAGAAUGAGAAGAAGCCUCCCAAAGCGUACCUGAUCCACGCCGGUCUGGAGCCUCUCACCUUCACCAACAUGUUCCCCAGCUGGGAGCACAGAGAGGACAUCGCUGAGAUCACUGAGAGGGUGUGGAUCAAAUCCACUUAUCUGAUGACUCAUUAUGUAAUAAGGACCAGUGCUGCUCUGACUGUCUGCCUGUAUGUUCUGACCCGGCCGCUGCCCGAGGGCGUUGACCCUCUUCGCCUGGAGGUCUACCUGUCCGACGAGGACUUUGAGAAAGCCCUGCAGACCACCAGAGAGGAGUACAGCGCUUUGCCUGGCUGGAAGCAGGUGAAGCUGAAGAAAGCCAAAGGACUUUUUUAAGGGGGGUUGAGACAGCGAGCUGACCUGAAGACACCGGGAUGCCUGGGACAUAGCGGAGGAUGGGAGCCUCACCUAAGGUAACCACGACGGAGGAAGGGAGCAGCGAAGCUACGGAGAAGGUGUUCCUCCACCAUCUUUGAGUCUGUGUUUUCCGGUCGUAAAGUUAGGAGACAAAUGCACCUUUUGUUAAGUUUAUUGAAUUUAAUGUUAAUGUACAUAUGUACCAUAUGCAAAAAACAGCCCGGUCACCUUACAUUGUCGGUCAUGCGGCCUUCUGUGAAGAGUGGGAGCAGACCUGUCAGCCUGUUCAACACACUCCACUUCACGUGCUCUGCUUUUG
ensembl:lncRNA